rnacentral:tRNA from 1 species
GGAUUGUGGCUCAGCGAUAGAAUGCUCGCCUAGCACAUGCGAGGCCCUGGGUUCGAUCCUCAGCACCA